rnacentral:misc_RNA from 1 species
GAUGAAGAACGUAGCGAAAUGCGAUACUUGGUGUGAAUUGCAGAAUCCCGUGAACCAUCGAGUCUUUGAACGCAAGUUGCGCCCGAAGCCAUUAGGCCGAGGGCACGCCUGCCUGGGCGUCACACGUCGUUGCCCCCCCAUCUACUCCUUCGGGAUUGCGGGGGGCGGAUGAUGGCCUCCCGUGCGCCUAGUCGCGCGGUUGGCAUAAAUGCCAAGUCCUCGGCGACGCACGCCACGACAAUCGGUGGUUGCGAAACCUCGGUUGCCCGUCGUGUGCGGUCGUCGCGCAUCGAGGGCUCGAAAAAAUUGCCGAGUUCCGGCUCGGCUUUCAACGCGACCCCAGGUCAGGCGGGGUUACCCGCUGAAUUUAAGCAUAUCAAUAAGCGGAGGA